UCUUCACAAUGGACGAAAGUCUGAUGGAGCAACGCCGCGUGAGUGAAGAAGGUUUUCGGAUCGUAAAACUCUGUUGUUGGAGAAGAACGUAUUUGAUAGUAACUGAUCAGGUAGUGACGGUAUCCAACCAGAAAGCCACGGCUAACUACGUGCCAGCAGCCGCGGUAAUACGUAGGUGGCAAGCGUUGUCCGGAUUUAUUGGGCGUAAAGCGAGCGCAGGCGGUUUCUUAAGUCUGAUGUGAAAGCCUUCGGCUCAACCGAAGAAGUGCAUCGGAAACUGGGAAACUUGAGUGCAGAAGAGGACAGUGGAACUCCAUGUGUAGCGGUGAAAUGCGUAGAUAUAUGGAAGAACACCAGUGGCGAAGGCGGCUGUCUGGUCUGUAACUGACGCUGAGGCUCGAAAGCAUGGGUAGCAAACAGGAUUAGAUACCCUGGUAGUCCAUGCCGUAAACGAUGAGUGCUAGGUGUUGGAGGGUUUCCGCCCUUCAGUGCCGCAGCUAACGCAUUAAGCACUCCGCCUGGGGAGUACGACCGCAAGGUUGAAACUCAAAGGAAUUGACGGGCCCCCCC
rnacentral:rRNA from 1 species